UCCAUGAUUCCUGGCCUUAGUGAAAUCAGUGACAAAAUGCUAACUAGCUACAGUGCUACUGGAUCCAAUAUUGAUGGCAAACACUUAGGCUCCAGAUGACAUUGUGCUUGCAAGAGAGCUCAGCCCAGCAACUUAGGGACAGGGCUGACAAUUCAUGUGGCAGGAAUUGAGAUCACCUGUCAGCCUGAUGAAACAGCUGAUGAAUCAAAACUGGAAGUUUAAAGGGGAGGAUGAAGUAUUCUGUCCUCCCAUAUUACAGAAGUGGACUAAAUCCAAGGGAAAAAAGGGUUGGAGAACACAAUGCAGCACAAAGCAAGCCUUGCAAAUAUUGCAGCCUGGGAGAUUUCUCUUUGGAUGAUCAGACAGGAACAGGACAGGAUGGAAGAAAACCAGAGAGGACAAAUGAAGAGGCACUGCUGGAGUGUUACUAGAAAAAGAGAAACAGAAGAGCACAUUUAUCUACAAAAGAGACCAUGAAG